CAAUCUUUUCUUUUGUGUUUUUUGCAGGAUGCUGUGAAAGCAGCCUAGCGCACGGUGAGACUUGGUCGACCGGCCGGGGGAGGAAGAGGAAGGCGGACGAUGAAGGCGCUCUACCGACACCAGAGAAAAAAAUUGCGGACGGUGUGAACGUUAAAGAAGAGCAGACUCACGUUCCGAUCAUAGAAGUCCUUUCGGUCUGCUCGAUGGCCGACCAAGAUGCACCCCCAGAGACGCAGCUUCGCGGCGCGUCGAAAAGAAACAUGACCUCAA